rnacentral:rRNA from 1 species
GUGCAGCAGGCGCGAAACUUUACAAUGUGCGAAAGCACGAUAAGGGAACUCUGAGUGCCUCCUAAGGAGGCUGUUCAGGUGUCUAAAAGCACCUGAAGGAAGGGCUGGGUAAGACCGGUGCCAGCCGCCGCGGUAACACCGGCAGCCCAAGUGGUAGCCACGUUUAUUGGGUCUAAAGCGUCCGUAGCCGGCUCGGCAAGUCCCCUGGGAAAUCUGGCGGCUCAACCGUCAGGCGUCCAGAGGAUACUGCUGGGCUUGGGACCGGAGAGGUGAGAGGUACCUCAGGGGUAGGGGUGAAAUCUUGUGAUCCCUGAGGGACCACCAGUGGCGAAGGCGUCUCACUAGAACGGGUCCGACGGUCAGGGACGAAAAGCUAAGGGGCGACGAACCGGAUUAGAUA